GGAGGUGUGGUAGAGCGGUAAUACAACGGAUUGCUAAUCCGUCAGUUCCUUACGGGCUGGGCAGGUUCAACUCCUGUCGCCUCCG
rnacentral:tRNA from 1 species